CAGGCUCCCAUGAACUGACUGCCAUGGCUAAGCGUCUAGUAGAAUACUACCCAAUGCUGUGAGACAAGUCUACGUCCAAUACACCUGAAUGGGAAAUGGUGAAGAAGCAGUUGUUGAAAAGGGUUCAGAAUGUGACAACUCCAAAAAAGAAGCAAGGUCCAACCCCAUCAAGAAAAGGACCUAGAAGCCUAAAAUUCCAGAGCAGCCAGGCGACGUGCACUGAAGAGAGUGAUGAACCUUUCUCCUCCCCUGCUUCAGUCUCUUCAGCUGCUUCAUCAGUCGCCUCGUCGUCUUCCUCCACUGUGAUCCUAGAGAAGUCAACUCCUUCUACAAGUACUUCCCAAGAGGUGGAUCUCUUUAGUGCUAUAGAGAGCCCACAGAGCCAAGCGAGACACUAUAAAACUCUGCAGGAUUUGUACAAAACUAAGAACAAACCCAACAAGGAAGAUGUAUCCCAGCUGCUGGAAUUGGAGUUCCAAU
rnacentral:lncRNA from 1 species